GAGUUUGAUCGUGGCUCAGGAUGAACGCUAGCUACAGGCUUAACACAUGCAAGUCGAGGGGCAUCGGGAAGAAAGCUUGCUUUCUUUGCCGGCGACCGGCGCACGGGUGAGUAACACGUAUCCAACCUGCCCUUUACUCGGGGAUAGCCUUUCGAAAGAAAGAUUAAUACCCGAUAGUAUAAUGAUUCCGCAUGGCUUCAUUAUUAAAGGAUUCCGGUAAAGGAUGGGGAUGCGUUCCAUUAGAUAGUAGGCGGGGUAACGGCCCACCUAGUCUUCGAUGGAUAGGGGUUCUGAGAGGAAGGUCCCCCAAUUGGAACUGAGACACGGUCCAAACUCCUACGGGAGGCAGCAGUGAGGAAUAUUGGUCAA
rnacentral:rRNA from 1 species